rnacentral:tRNA from 1 species
GCCCUGAUCACCUAGUGGUUAAAGUGCAGCGCUCUCACCGCUUUGGUGGCCCAGGUUCAUUUCCUGGUCGUGGAA